rnacentral:rRNA from 1 species
AGCGAACGCUGGCGGCAGGCCUAACACAUGCAAGUCGAACGAACCUUUCGGGGUUAGUGGCGGACGGGUGAGUAACACGUGGGAACGUGCCUUUAGGUUCGGAAUAACUCAGGGAAGCUUGUGCUAAUACCGAAUGUGCCCUUCGGGGGAAAGAUUUAUCGCCUUUAGGGCGGCCCGCGUCUGAUUAGCUAGUUGGUUGAGGUAAUGGCUCACCAAGGCGACGAUCAGUAGCUGGUCUGAGAGGAUGAUCAGCCACAUUGGGACUGAGACACGGCCCAAACUCCUACGGGAGGCAGCAGUGGGGAAUCUUGCGCAAUGGGCGAAAGCCUGACGCAGCCAUGCCGCGUGAAUGAUGAAGGUCUUAGGAUUGUAAAAUUCUUUCACCGGGGACGAUAAUGACGGUACCCGGAGAAGAAGCCCCGGCUAACUUCGUG